UACGUAGGGUGCAAGCGUUAAUCGGAAUUACUGGGCGUAAAGCGUGCGCAGGCGGUCGCGUAAGCCAGAUGUGAAAUCCCCGGGCUUAACCUGGGAACUGCAUUUGGUACUGCGUGGCUGGAGUGCGGCAGAGGAAGGUGGAAGUCCUGGUGUAGCAGUGAAAUGCGUAGAGAUCAGGAGGAACACCGAUGGCGAAGGCAGCCUUCUGGGCCAGCACUGACGCUCAUGCACGAAAGCGUGGGGAGCAAACAGG
rnacentral:rRNA from 1 species